UCCUAUUCCCUUACAACUCCUAAUUCUUCUCUAAGAAAAAACCUCCUACAUGAAUGCUCCUCUCAAUUAGGACUCUCCUAGCUAGAGUCCUAACAGAAUGUCCCUCUCAAUUAGGACUCUCCUAGCUAGAGUCCUAACAUUUUUACAUGAAUGUCCCUCUCAAUUAGGACUCUCCAAGCUAGAGUCCUAACAGACCCGCCCUCUUCAAAUCAGC
rnacentral:lncRNA from 1 species